rnacentral:rRNA from 1 species
UACGUAGGUGGCAAGCGUUGUCCGGAAUUAUUGGGCGUAAAGCGCGCGCAGGUGGUUUCUUAAGUCUGAUGUGAAAGCCCACGGCUCAACCGUGGAGGGUCAUUGGAAACUGGGGAACUUGAGUGCAGGAGAGAAGAGUGGAAUUCCACGUGUAGCGGUGAAAUGCGUAGAGAUGUGGAGGAACACCAGUGGCGAAGGCGGGUCUCUGGGACGGUACUGACGCUGAGACGCGAAAGCGUGGGAGCGAACAGG